rnacentral:misc_RNA from 1 species
AAGUCGUAACAAGGUUUCCGUAGGUGAACCUGCGGAAGGAUCAUUAUUGAAUAAACCUGGCUUGGUUGUUGCUGGUCUUUUGGGAGACAUGUGCACGCCUUGUCAUCUUUAUAUUUCCACCUGUGCACCCUGUUGUAGACUUGAAAACAGUUUUCCGAGGUAACUCGGUCGUAAGGAAUUGCUUUUAAAUUGGCUUUCCUUGAAUGUAUUCAAGCCUAUGUUUUCAUAUACACCAUAAGAAUGUAACAGAAUGUCAUUAUUAGACUUGAAUGUCUUAUAAACUUUAUACAACUUUCAGCAACGGAUCUCUUGGCUCUC